ACAGCUUUGUAAUCAUAGCGACAGAAUUGUAAGAUGAACAAAGUCAGAAGAAUUAAGACCAGAACAGCUUACUCAUAUACCUUGGGGAGCAACUUGGCUGAUAUCGACAUUAAACAAUGUCUAAGCCGAUUGCAGCUCCUUCAACCCUAGAAUCUUGAAGCCCCACAGAGCUGCCAUCUCCUGCUCCAGGGUCUUAUUCAUUAAAGGCUCCUUUAACAAAGCCUCUUGGGGUUCGCCCCAGGU
rnacentral:lncRNA from 1 species